AAUUUCUCAAGCUAGGAUGGCUUUUUGUCUGUCCUUAGCCUUGGUUGUUGGGCUUUGCCGUGUCCUUCAUUGGGGACGGCUGGCCUUAAAAGCAUUAGCUGAUCCUCGUGUGGCACUGGUUCUACUCAGCGUGAUAACAGUCUGAUCGCUGAGGACAUCUUUUGGGAUGGCCAGUCCUCAUUUGGAUUGCUUCUAAACCUGGUUUCACAGAUUCUUCAAUCUGUGUUCCACUUUUCAG
rnacentral:misc_RNA from 1 species